GCCGGGGUAGCUCAGCCCGGGAGAGCACUCGGCUGAAGACCGAGUUGUCGCGCGUUCAAAUCUCGCCCCCGGCACCA
rnacentral:tRNA from 3 species